rnacentral:tRNA from 1 species
GGACGUGGCGGAACGGCAGACGCGCCAGACUUAGGAUCUGGUGCCGCAAGGCGUAAGGGUUCAACUCCCUUCGUCC